rnacentral:rRNA from 1 species
GAUGAACGCUGGCGGCGUGCCUAAUACAUGCAAGUCGAGCGAACAGAUAAGGAGCUUGCUCCUUUGACGUUAGCGGCACGGGUGAGUAACACGUGGGUAACCUACCUAUAAGACUGGAAUAACUCCGGGAAACCGGGGCUAAUGCCGGAUAACAUGUUGAACCGCAUGGUUCUACAGUGAAAGGCGGCUUUGCUGUCACUUAUAGAUGGACCCGCGCCGUAUUAGCUAGUUGGUGAGGUAACGGCUCACCAAGGCAACGAUACGUAGCCGACCUGAGAGGGUGAUCGGCCACACUGGAACUGAGACACGGUCCAGACUCCUACGGGAGGCAGCAGUAGGGAAUCUUCCGCAAUGGGCGAAAGCCUGACGGAGCAACGCCGCGUGAGUGAUGAAGGUCUUCGGAUCGUAAAACUCUGUUAUUAGGGAAGAACAAAUGCGUAAGUAACUGUGCGCGUCUUGACGGUACCUAAUCAGAAAGCCACGGCUAACUACGUG